rnacentral:lncRNA from 1 species
ACUGGAGCACGGAGUAGGGAAAACCGGCGGUGUAGCCCCGGAGCUGCUGCAGAGGAUGUAAUUUCCUUGAGAAACGGACCUCUGUCCAGACUCCCAGACUCGGCGGUGCCGGGCUGUGGGUGGUCCCCUCCCGGAGCAGCAGGACUGGCCGCCGGGCGCAGCGGGGAGGAAGGAGGCCCCGGAGCUAGAUCCCGGAAGACGAAUAACGCGCGCGCGGGGAACAGCAGCCCCUCCCAGCCUCGCCAAAGCAGCGCCAUCGGAACGCGGCAGUCGCCGGCUGGCGCCGCCCGGGGAAACCCCGGGUCUCGAGAUUUGGGUACUGUGUCUUUAAGGGGGCGGGUCCGAUGGGGCGGACCCAGCGCCUACUCUCCCGGCCCCGCCCCCGCCCCCGUUACGCAGGCUCCGCCCCUCUGGGGCGCCCCCCGCGGUGCAGGACAAAGGGGCUCGGCCCAGCUGCAGCAGCGCUAGCCGAGCUUCCAGCCCUCCGACCGGAAGCGAGGAGGAGGGACCCCCCCCCCGCCCCCGGCGGAACCUGUGAUCGGCGCGACUCCGAGGACACCGCGCUUCAGAACAGCUGCUGCAGAAAUAGCUUAAUGGUGGGCCUUCUGAAGAUACAGACUAUCGUGUUCCUCUUGGAAUGUUUGGGAGCAAAGACGUGUGACCCUGAGCAGGUCCACAGUGGCCAUUUGAAUGAAAGCGUUGGAUGGAGUAAAGGGAUUCCUUCCGAGAGCUGGACCUUCACUCCCUGCCGUCGCUGAUUCGGAAGCUGGCAGCCGAGCAGGCCCUGGCGAGCGCCCCAGCGGGUCCCCUGCAGGCGGCGGAGACGGGGAAGCCGCGCCCGCAAGCUUGUCUAGGGUCCCGCGCCGGGUUCGUUAGGAAAGCCAUUGUACAAAGCUUCACUUCUACCCUAAAGAAACAAAACGUUGACCCUCACGUUUUAUUUUCUGCUUGUUUCUGAAGUUUGCAGCACCUGGAGAAGAAUGACCCUUGUUCCGAAGACAGUAACUUAAGGCCGCGAAGACUGGUUAAAACUACUCUGCGCUCACACACACGGUCCCCUGCGUGGUGCGAGUGCGGGGCGGAGGCACUUUUUUCUCGGAGGAGCCUGCGUGAGGCGGGAUGGAGCCUGCAACCGCGCAGCCGCACCCGCAAGGCUGGCGCUGAAAGGCAGCAGCCAGGGCCCGCGCGCGCUUGUGGAGGCGGCCAGCGCAGAGUGAAGCUAAUUCUCCCUCCUCGCGCUGCGGGAGCCAUGCCCAGCGGGGAGCCUGCAGAGGACAGAGGCUCGAGCCCCCGCCUGGGGGCGCCCUACGCCGAGGCCUGGGGCUACUUCC